GUGUCCCCCCUACUCUAUCAAACCAACCGACACAUUUAUAUGAUUUACAUAUUUUAUAUAUUUGUGAAAGCAAAAUUUUAUGAACAAUGUGAUAUCAUUCAUGUUAUUUAAUCUGAUUCAUUUUUUUCUUAUUGGACUUGGAUUGGGCGAACCAGCUAGGGCACUACAGUGCUGGAUCCAAGGGCUACACCCAACAUUUUUUUUUUGGUUUUGCUGGGAUUCAUC
rnacentral:lncRNA from 1 species